rnacentral:rRNA from 1 species
GACGAACGCUGGCGGCGUGCUUAACACAUGCAAGUCGAACGGAAAGGUCCUGCUUUUGUGCGGUGCGCGAAUGGCGAACGGGUGAGUAACACGUGAGUAACCUGCCCUUGACUGUGGGAUAACCUCAGGAAACUGGGGCUAAUCCCGGAUAGGAGCUCCUGCUGCAUGGUGGGGGUUGGAAAGUUUAGGCGGUUGGGGAUGGACUCGCGGCUUAUCAGCUUGUUUGUGGGGUAGUGGCUUACCAAGGCUAUGAAGGGUAGCCGGGCUGAGAGGGGGACCGGCCACGUUAGGACUGGGAUACGACCCAGACUCCUACGGGACGCGGGAGAGCAGAGGAGUGCACUGUGGACGGAGGGCUAGUGCAGCAACGCCACGUGGGGUAAAUCGUGCAUCGGGUUGGAUACCACAUUUGUCUGUGACGAGACGUGAGUGACGGUACCGGGUAAAGAAGCCCCGGCUAACUUCGUG